rnacentral:rRNA from 1 species
UACGUAGGGAGCAAGCGUUGUUCGGAUUUACUGGGCGUAAAAGGGCGCGUAGGCGGCGCGGUAAGUCACUUGGUGAAAUCUCUGAGCUUAACUCAGAACGGCCAAGUGAUACUGCAGUGCUAGAGUGCAGAAGGGGCAAUCGGAAUUCUUGGUGUAGCGGUGAAAUGCGUAGAUAUCAAGAGGAACACCGUGGAGGCGAAGGCGG